UACAGAGGUCUCAAGCGUUGUUCGGAUUCAUUGGCGUAAAGGGUGCGUAGGCGGUCUGUCGCGUCGGCUGUGAAAACCCGGGGCUCAACCCCGGGCCUGCAGUCGAUACGGGCAGACUAGAGUGCGGUAGGGGAGACUGGAAUUCCUGGUGUAGCGGUGAAAUGCGCAGAUAUCAGGAGGAACACCGGUGGCGAAGGCGGGUCUCUGGGCCGUAACUGACGCUGAGGAGCGAAAGCGUGGGGAGCGAACAGG
rnacentral:rRNA from 1 species